rnacentral:misc_RNA from 1 species
GAUGAAGAACGCAGCGAAAUGCGAUAAGUAGUGUGAAUUGCAGAAUUCAGUGAAUCAUCGAAUCUUUGAACGCACAUUGCGGCCAUAGGUAUUCCUUUGGCCAUGCCUGUUCGAGCGUCAUUUACACCCUCAAGCCUAGCUUGGUGUUGGGCGUCUGUCCCGCCGUUCUCGCGCGCGGACUCGCCUCAAAGUCAUUGGCGGCGGUCGUGCCGGCCCCCUCGCGCAGCACAUUUGCGCUUCUCGGAGGCCCGGCGGAUCCGCGCUCCAGCAAGACCUUUCACGACUUGACCUCGGAUCAGGUAGGGAUACCCGCUGAACUUAAGCAUAUCAAUAAGCGGGGA